UACGAAGGGGGCUAGCGUUGCUCGGAAUUACUGGGCGUAAAGCGCACGUAGGCGGCUUUCUAAGUCGGGGUGAAAUCCUGGAGCUCAACUCCGGAACUGCCUUCGAUACUGGAGAGCUCGAGUCCGGGAGAGGUGAGUGGAACUGCGAAGUGUAGAGGUGAAAUUCGUAGAUAUUGGGAAGAACACCGGUGGCGAAGGCGGCUCACUGGCUCAUAUCUGACGCUCAGGCGCGACAGCGUGGGAUCAAACAGG
rnacentral:rRNA from 1 species